rnacentral:rRNA from 1 species
GACGAACGCUGGCGGCGUGCUUAACACAUGCAAGUCGAACGGAAAGGCCCUGCUUUUGUGGGGUGCUCGAGUGGCGAACGGGUGAGUAACACGUGAGUAACCUGCCCUUGACUUUGGGAGAACUUCAGGAAACUGGGGCUAAUACCGGAUAGGAGCUCCUGCUGCAUGGUGGGGGUUGGAAAGUUUCGGCGGGUGGGGAUGGACUCGCGGCUUAUCAGCUUGUUGGUGGGGUAGUGGCUUACCAAGGCUUUGACGGGUAGCCGGCCUGAGAGGGUGACCGGCCACAUUGGGACUGAGAUACGGCCCAGACUCCUACGGGAGGCAGCAGUGGGGAAUAUUGCACAAUGGGCGGAAGCCUGAUGCAGCAACGCCGUGUGCGGGAUGACGGUCUUCGGGUUGUAAACCGCUUUCGCCUGUGACGAAGCGUGAGUGACGGUAAUGGGUAAAGAAGCACCGGCUAACUACGUG